rnacentral:rRNA from 1 species
UUUGUGGAGGGUUCGAUUCUGGCUCAGGAUGAACGCUGGCGGCGUGCUUAACACAUGCAAGUCGAACGGGAUCCAUCAGGCUUUGCUUGGUGGUGAGAGUGGCGAACGGGUGAGUAAUGCGUGACCGACCUGCCCCAUACACCGGAAUAGCUCCUGGAAACGGGUGGUAAUGCCGGAUGCUCCGACUCCUCGCAUGGGGUGUCGGGAAAGAUUUCAUCGGUAUGGGAUGGGGUCGCGUCCUAUCAGGUAGUCGGCGGGGUAACGGCCCACCGAGCCUACGACGGGUAGCCGGCCUGAGAGGGCGACCGGCCACAUUGGGACUGAGAUACGGCCCAGACUCCUACGGGAGGCAGCAGUGGGGAAUAUUGCACAAUGGGCGCAAGCCUGAUGCAGCGACGCCGCGUGCGGGAUGACGGCCUUCGGGUUGUAAACCGCUUUUGAUCGGGAGCAAGCCUUCGGGUGAGUGUACCUUUCGAAUAAGCACCGGCUAACUACGUGCCAGCAGCCGCGGUAAUACGUAGGGUGCAAGCGUUAUCCGGAAUUAUUGGGCGUAAAGGGCUCGUAGGCGGUUCGUCGCGUCCGGUGUGAAAGUCCAUCGCUUAACGGUGGAUCUGCGCCGGGUACGGGCGGGCUGGAGUGCGGUAGGGGAGACUGGAAUUCCCGGUGUGUAACGGUGGAAUGUGUAGAUAUCGGGAAGAACACCAAUGGCGAAGGCAGGUCUCUGGGCCGUUACUGACGCUGAGGAGCGAAAGCGUGGGGAGCGAACAGGAUUAGAUACCCUGGUAGUCCACGCCGUAAACGGUGGAUGCUGGAUGUGGGGCCCGUUCCACGGGUUCCGUGUCGGAGCUAACGCGUUAAGCAUCCCGCCUGGGGAGUACGGCCGCAAGGCUAAAACUCAAAGAAAUUGACGGGGGCCCGCACAAGCGGCGGAGCAUGCGGAUUAAUUCGAUGCAACGCGAAGAACCUUACCUGGGCUUGACAUGUUCCCGACCGCGGCAGAGAUGUCGUUUCCCUUCGGGGCGGGUUCACAGGUGGUGCAUGGUCGUCGUCAGCUCGUGUCGUGAGAUGUUGGGUUAAGUCCCGCAACGAGCGCAACCCUCGCCCUGUGUUGCCAGCACGUCAUGGUGGGAACUCACGGGGGACCGCCGGGGUCAACUCGGAGGAAGGUGGGGAUGACGUCAGAUCAUCAUGCCCCUUACGUCCAGGGCUUCACGCAUGCUACAAUGGCCGGUACAACGGGAUGCGACACGGCGACGUGGAGCGGAUCCCUGAAAACCGGUCUCAGUUCGGAUUGGAGUCUGCAACCCGACUCCAUGAAGGCGGAGUCGCUAGUAAUCGCGGAUCAGCAACGCCGCGGUGAAUGCGUUCCCGGGCCUUGUACACACCGCCCGUCAAGUCAUGAAAGUGGGUAGCACCCGAAGCCGGUGGCCUAACCCUUUGUGGAUGGAGCCGUCUAAGGUGAGACUCGUGAUUGGGACUAAGUCGUAACAAGGUAGCCGUACCGGAAGGUGCGGCUGGAUCACCUCCUUU